rnacentral:rRNA from 1 species
GCUAAAUAGCUAGCUUAAUUACUAUACUAAAUUAAUAACAUAAGUAAAAGUACAAAACCUAAAAUUAUUAAUCAAAUCAUUUUUCCACCUUAGUACGGGCGACGAAAAAG